rnacentral:lncRNA from 1 species
CAACAUACAAAUAUCCAACACAUUUUACAUUAUCGAAGUAUAUCAAUCACACUAUAGUCUAUAGCAUAUGAAAUACCGAGAAAAAUCUCAAUGGUAUCAUUACUACGACAUAUUUAUUAAACUAUAUAAUUACAAGUAGAGUAAAAACUAUUUAUGAUUCUCUGCCUUAUUUUAUUUCAUUAUCAUUAUCUUAGAGUACAAAAACUUAUUUGAUACUAACAUUAUAACUAAAUGACAACUUGUAAAAUAUUUUAGUAGGACGUUUUUGUACUGCCUUAAGUCCAGCCGUAAAUGCAUAAUCACUCGGGAAUAGGAAUGAACAUGUUUCUUAAACACUUGCAUUUACCCUUUGAACAGAUCAUUCUCCGUCCAGGUAAACAAUACUUAGUAGGUGAACAAUCAGAAACUUUUACACAUUCAUCUGAUGCUGCAAUAAAAAAAGAGAAUAAAAGAAUAUAAUUAAAAUGAGAUGAAAUGUUAUUUACAAAGUAAAGAACGAAAUUUGUAAUGGAUAAAAAAUAUAUUACCAUCAACGUUCAUUGAAACAAGAAAUACAUAAAAAAAGAUAAUCAUAACAUAAAUCAACUUAACAAUUUCAGCCAUACUGACACUCUUCACAUGUAACAAAUAGUUUUAUCACUUAUU